GACGAACGCUGGCGGCGUGCCUAAUACAUGCAAGUAGAACGCACAGUUUAUACCGUAGCUUGCUACACCAUAGACUGUGAGUUGCGAACGGGUGAGUAACGCGUAGGUAACCUGCCUGGUAGCGGGGGAUAACUAUUGGAAACGAUAGCUAAUACCGCAUAAUAUUGAUUAUUGCAUGAUAAUUGAUUGAAAGAUGCUAUUGCAUCACUACCAGAUGGACCUGCGUUGUAUUAGCUAGUAGGUGAGGUAACGGCUCACCUAGGCGACGAUACAUAGCCGACCUGAGAGGGUGAUCGGCCACACUGGGACUGAGACACGGCCCAGACUCCUACGGGAGGCAGCGGUAGGGAAUCUUCGGCAAUGGACGAAAGUCUGACCGAGCAACGCCGCGUGAGUGAAGAAGGUUUUCGGAUCGUAAAGCUCUGUUGUAAGAGAAGAACGGGUGUGAGAGUGGAAAGUUCACACUGUGACGGUAUCUUACCAGAAAGGGACGGCUAACUACGU
rnacentral:rRNA from 1 species